rnacentral:misc_RNA from 1 species
AUGCAGAGGGUUCCUCAGUGGGGAGUCUUCGGCAACCCUCAGUUUGCUGUCUUGAUGCUAGAUAGAUUUCUUUAUGUCCUCAUUUGAGCUUCAUUAUGCUAAAUAUUAAUGGUGUGAGGCUUCCUAUAAUAGCUUUUCUAGUUGUUGACAUCGGUGAAGGAUGGUCCAAGCUUGGAGAAGCAGGCGAUUAGGGUUUCUCUUUUGGAAGAGAUAGUCUUCCGGAUCCUGUACUUGGAUCGAGUCUUCGUAGUUGUAAGAGUAUAUAUUGUAUGGUUUUGAGCCUUAAUUUUGGACAGUGUAUCUUUAACUUAAUUGGGAGCCUUUUUUUAAUAGUAAGUCUAGGCCUGAACUUCCUUUGUUAGCCUAUGUAUUGCCCUUUCUUGUAUAAGCUUAAUGUUUAAUGAAUUCCAACCUAUCUUUUUUUUAAAAAAAAAAAAAAAAGAUAG